rnacentral:rRNA from 1 species
ACGCACGCUGGCGGCGUGCUUAACACAUGCAAGUCGAACGGAAAGGCCCUGCUUUUGUGGGGUGCUCGAGUGGCGAACGGGUGAGUAACACGUGAGUAACCUGCCCCUGACUUUGGGAUAACUUCAGGAAACUGGGGCUAAUACCGGAUAGGAGCUCCUGCUGCAUGGUGGGGGUUGGAAAGUUUCGGCGGUUGGGGAUGGACUCGCGGCUUAUCAGCUUGUUGGUGGGGUAGUGGCUUACCAAGGCUUUGACGGGUAGCCGGCCUGAGAGGGUGACCGGCCACAUUGGGACUGAGAUACGGCCCAGACUCCUACGGGAGGCAGCAGUGGGGAAUAUUGCACAAUGGGCGGAAGCCUGAUGCAGCAACGCCGCGUGCGGGAUGACGGCCUUCGGGUUGUAAACCGCUUUCGCCUGUGACGAAGCGUGAGUGACGGUAAUGGGUAAAGAAGCACCGGCUAACUACGUG